rnacentral:lncRNA from 1 species
AGAGGAAGGAGGAAAGCGGGUGUCAUGCAAGAAAUAAUUUUUUCCAUAUUUUUUUCUCCACUUGUCAGGUCAGCACUCGGAUGAGUUUGACCAGAAAGCACACUGCAUUAAUGCCUUGCAUUUUUGCAGCACCUUUUGCUUACAAGCAUCGUAACACCUCCCGUGAGGAGACUAGAAAUUGAGGAUUCGUGCAUAAAGUCCAUUCAGUGUCCUCAGAGGCCGAAAGCUGGGAGCAGGAAGCGGCUGCGCCCUGAUGGCUGUCGUUUCCCCUGCGAGCCCCUCCUGUGUCCUGCCAGCUGCUCUCUGACAGCCACAUCACCCGGGCUUCGGUACCAAGCGGGCACGCCGCUGACUCCCAGCUAGGAAUCCUUCCAGGGCUACCUUCUCUUCACAAGCAAUAAGGUCAGCCUGGGGAAAAAAAAAGUAAUAAUAAUAAAUAAUAACUUAAAAAAAUAACCA